rnacentral:rRNA from 1 species
ACGAGAGGACCGGGAUGGACGUACCUAUGGUGUACCAGUUGUCACGCCAGUGGCAUCGCUGGGUAGCUAAGUACGGCAUGGAUAAGCGCUGAAGGCAUCUAAGCGCGAAGCCAACUUCAAGAUUAGAUUUCCCAUUCACUUGAUGAAGUAAGAUCCCUUGAAGACUACAAGGUUGAUAGGUCAGAGAUGGAAGCAUAGUGAUAUGUGUAGUUGACUGAUACUAAUAGAUCGAGGAUUUAAUCACAC